ensembl:lncRNA
UGUUUAUAUAUAUGUGAGAGAGAACAGAGAGAUGUGAACAUACUUAACUCAUGUGUUUAUAUAUGUGACAGAGAACAGAGAGAUGUGAACAUACUUAUCUUAUGUGUUUAUAUAUGUGACAGAGAGAUGUGAACAUACUUAUCUUAUGUGUUUAUAUAUGUGAGAGAGAACAGAGAGAUGGUGAACAUACUUAUCUUAUGUGUUUAUAUAUGUGACAGAGAGAUGUGAACAUACCUAACUUAUGUGUUUAUAUGUGUGACAGAGAGAGAACAGAGAGAUGGUGAACAUACUUAACUUAUGUGUUUAUAUAUAGAACAGAGAGAUGGUGAACAUACUUAUCUUAUGUGUUUAUAUAUGUGACAGAGAGAUGUGAACAUACCUAACUUAUGUGUUUAUAUGUGUGACAGAGAGAGAACAGAGAGAUGGUGAACAUACUUAACUUACGUGUUUAUAUGUGUGACAGAGAGAGAACAGAGAGAUGGUGAACAUACUUAACGUAUGUGUUUAUAUGUGUGAUAGAAUGUAGGCUUUGGUUUUACCAUGAACAUUGUUGACCCUUUUUUCUUGAUUUUUUCUUUUCAUUGAUGAUGUUGCAAAUCGUGAAGUGCUUCAGGAUCUAUUUAAUGAAAUGGAAUGGGAUUGUUGUAAAUAUAUAAUACAUUUACUAUAUGUACUAUGUGUGGUUCUAUACAUUUAAUUUAGAAAUAUACUGCACUGCAUUUGUCAUUUGUCAUAGAUUGAAAUUCAUAAAAUAAUUCAUGCCACAUAAUGCUGUAGUGCGAAUUUGCUACUGAAAAUCAUUAAUUAGUUUUAUAUUGCGAUUAAUCCUUUUAACCUAGUAAACAUAUUAACAAAAUAAAUGCUCCAGUAAAUAGCAUUCAUGUACAAGAAAAUGUCCAUGCUUAAAAACCAAAUCAAGAUCUAAACACAAAUCAUGAGGAUGUCUGAAUUCAAUUCAGUGGCAACGUUUUGGGGAAACAUGCAUGAUAUAUGAGAACCAACUGACAAGAAGACAUCGUGCCACAAUCCGAUUGGAUGUGAUUGAUCUUCAGUGGCAGAUCUGUCUUAGUGUUAAGGCACAUGAGAGGGAUUGAACUCUGAUCUCUGCUCCCACCUACCUAAAUGCUCUUGUAAGGGCAAAUGUCACACCCAGGACGCUGCGCUCGUCUAGUGAGCGUCGUUUGGCACUGCCGUCCGUGCAAGCACGGCAAUCCAAACUAUUCUCAUUUGUAGUCCCACGUUGGUGGAACGAACUGCCUAGUACUACCAGAGCAGGGGCGUCCCUCUCUACCUUCAAGAAGCUUUUGAAGACCCAACUCUUCAGAGAGCACCUCCCUUCCUAACUGGCACCUUGACUAGCGCUUAACUUGCACUUCAGCAGUUACAUUCCUGCACUUCUUUUUCCUUUCUAGGUCGUUUUUCUAAUUCUUAUGUAAAGUAGUAUUUAUUGUUACACCAUGUUCUGUAUUGCUCUUAGCUUGACUGUUCUCUCCAUUGUACGUCGCUUUGGACAAAAGCGUCUGCUAAAUGACUAAAUGUAAAUGUAAAUGAUCUCUGUUGAGAUGAUGGAUCUAAGUCCCCUACCCUACCCAUGUAUGCUUCUA